AUCAACAUCCAUUUGAUAAAAUUUGCAUUAUAAGUUAGAAUACCACAAAGGGACAAAGAGGGUUUGUGAUUGUCCAAUACUUGUGUUUGCUGGUAUAAUAUAGUCAGUUGGUUAUUCCUCUAAUAAAAUAGUCUGAAAAUUUGCUCAUAUAGGAUGGGUGGACUGUAGGGAUGAUGAAUAAGCCCUUUCUGAUCAGAUUUUAUUUUCAUGCUACAUAAUUUGGAUACUAGCAGAAAGGCGCAUAUAUAUAUAUAUAUAUAUAGACUAGUUAGUGACAUCAGGUAGGCCUGUGCAUAAAAUGCACUAGGUCGAUCUGUCCGCAAGAACUGGCUUGAGCCCCCCCAACAAAAGUUGGGUUAUUCGAAUCCACGUCACUAGCAGGUUGAACCAAGUUAAUAUCGGUCGAAACCAAUACCGUCUAGUGUGUUUUGAACCAAGGCAGACUUCUUUCCUUCGUUUCACAAACCCUAGCCAUCAGUGCACCACUCCAUUGGGCAUCGCUGUUCGUCGUCACUAUUGGGAAUCGCCAUUCGUCUUCACCAAUCAAGCCAGUUUUGGUUGGAGUUAUUGAAGUGGGCGAUGGUGCUUUGUUGGGUUCUGCAAUUGGCUUUGGUUUUGAAGUUCUUUAAUGGUGGAUAGUAGGAAGGAUAAGUGCUUGGGUACGUUAGUUUCUUAGUUCAGAUCUGCAUUUUUUUUUCUAAUUGAUACGAACGAUUUUUUUUCUUUUUAAAAUCUGAAUAUAUUUUUUUGAGAUCUUUUUUUUUUCUUAUUUUCACCCAUGUUGGUGACCAUUUAGGUCCCCUUUUUGUCAAUAAUAAGGAUUUGACGAAAUACCAUUGUCCUGGCUUCGUGAGAGGAACAAGACUUUGCUUUCUGUGGCAUGCAUGUGAAUCUGUGACCUUAUCAAGCAAGUGUGCAGAUUUGCUGGCUUCACGUGUUUCUUUUCUAGUGCGUUUGUGCAUGCAUGAGUGCUUGCAUUUCUAGAACUUGUAUUCGGUUGUUCUGUGCUCUGCUGUUAAGUGGUACCUGUGGUACCCUUUUGUUGUAAAUCACGAUCGCUCUGCAGUUGUUCUCUAUUACUUGCUGUAUGCCGAGUGCCCUCAUUCUGUUUGUGAAAAGGUGGCAUAGAAUCUUUUA